UAAAAAAAAUACACGAGAGGACCGUGUGUUCUACACAUGGAUUUGCGCAUGUUGUCAAAGCAAAUCAAUAUCACGUGUAAACCACAUGACAUCGCUCAAUCAAAACUCAGAAUUUUUUUGUAAACAAACCACACGGUAUUAACGUGUAAAACAAAUCGAAUUCGGUUGCUCGACUUGUCAUAGUCGUUUGUUUAAUAUGUGAUAUCUAAUUAUAAUUGUGUUGAAUUUCAUUUGAAUUAAAAGCUGAACCACUCCAACCAGCAUUAACGAGCUGAGUCCGACGAUUUUGACUGCGAACAGAUCAUAGAAAUUUAUGUUACCUACAUCCAAAAGGGCUGCUGCCGGAGAACGUGAUCGGUUCGGUGCUGGUUCCUGCCAGCAGGAAGCCGCAACAAAGGACAUACGUCGCAAAGGACAGUCGAAAGAGAUCGGUAUU